AGGAACAUGGUUCCAGGAUGCCACAGAAUGGAAGAUGGCAGUGGCUCAGGGCUGUGGAAGACAGGAGCAGUCUGAAAAGCUUGCAGGGGAACUGCCGCCACCCUGGAUUGGGUGAAACAGAGCUGAGCAGCUGAGGACUGAAGGUCGUGCCUUUUGUGUGGGUGAACAAAGAUCAUUAUUUGUUCCUGUGUGUCACUGUCAAGUAGAGAGCUUUCCCGUUUUCUCCCUGCAUCUCUCUGUAUGCGGUAGGUAUGCGGGAAUGUAGUUAUGGCAAUGACACGCGCUUUCUUACCGUUUCCCACAUCCCUUUCUGAGUCAGGUAGAAAUAUUUGAGGGCCAGUGGGACUGACAAUAGCUGUUCUAGGAGGUCAGAAAGGAAGCGGAAAGGCAAGGCUGGCUUGGUUUCUGGAGGAACAGAAGCCAGUCCUCAGAACCCUCCAGCCUCCCGGCACGGCACUGCUAGGGGAACUGUCCAGUUGAGUUACUUAGAAUCGCAUCUCUCCCGGGACCUGCUGUUAAUCUCCAGCCCAGCCCCCAUGAGAACCCAGACCGAUAGCUAAGAAUGGAGCUGUCUGUCUUUCUGAGCCCCCUGAUUGUUUUGUUAUUGCUAAUGGGCUGAUUUCCAGUUAUGUAACCUCCUCUCUGUUAGAUGAAAUCUCAUUAUUUUACUGUGCUGUGCACAUCAGGUCUGGUUCACGUUGAGCUACCUGAGAGGAGCUGGGAACGUGCUGUUUCUCAUCAUUUUCAUCCAGCAAGA